GGGGGUAUAGCUCAGGGGGAGCGUGUUUGACUGCAGCUCAAGUGGCCCUUGGUUCAAAUCCAAGUGCCCCCU